AAUUCGAUUUUUUGAAAAGGAAAAUUGCUUAAAAUCAUAUGGUCAAAGCUACUCAUUUACCAGAGUCAAUGGCAAUCAUGCCCUUUCGCCCAUCACAUCACAUUGAUCAUAAUUGUUUCCAUGGACAAAGACUUGCCAAACAAAUCUGACGGAGUCCAAUCUGGCUGUCAUCCGUAACUUCGAGACCGGCAGUUACUUUUUUACCGGCAUCUAACACAACGAUGACCUUCUUGAUACCAAUAAUAUUUCCAAAACCCUAACUAAACCCCCAAAUUUUCAAAAACCUAAUUCACUCUUUAACUUUCUUCUCAUUUCAAUUGGGGUUCCUUUCGUUGUAUUCCUCUCUAGAUUUUUGGCUCCUCUCUGUCUACGAUAUGCCAAAGGUCACGCAAAUGGAAAGUCUACCCUCAAACGAUGUCGCCUUGGACAGUUUCUUGAGCUUUGCACUGCAAGCUAUGGUUGUCGAGGCCGCCAUUGUUGCUACAAAGUCUGUCACUUGGUUGCUGAUGACGAUGGGAACUCUGCCUAAUGGAAUUGAUGUCUUCGUCAAAGAGCCUGAAGCAUAUGCAGGGUUUCCACUUGCUCAGCAUCUUGCGGUGGGGAAACCUGGUCCAGAGACUAAGGAUGCUGGUGACACUGAGGAUGAUAAUGAUGAAGAAGAUGAAGUAGCAAAUGAUCAAGAUGAAGAUGGAGGUGAGGAGGAAGAUGGAUCUGGUGAAGAUGGUGAAGACGAAGGGGAUCCAGAGGAUGGACCUGAGGCCAAUGGGGAUGGUGGCAGUGGAGAUGAGGAUGACGACGAGGAUGAGGAGGAAGAGGAUGAUGACGAUGAUGGCGAGGAAGAGGAGGAAGAAGAGGAAGAGGAGGAGGAAGAACUUCAGCCACCAGCUAAAAAGCGGAAAUGAGCUUGGAUCUCUUUUUCUUGUUUCCUAUGGUGUAGUGGCAAGUUAGGAUGGGCAGAUUCAGGUUGCGGACUAAGGUUAUUCCUUAGAGGAUUACAUAAUGAAUCACCACAUGAAGGAUGGUCCUGCCUCUGGUUGUUUCCAACCGUGCUCUGGUUUAAGCCCCUAGCUUUUUACAAGAUUCCAACCGGAGGGUUAGUAAUUUCUGAAUAAUGUUCAAUGUUUCUUCAGGGAAAAAAGGGGUGGUUUAAAAGUAACAUGGAGAGGUGAAAGGAUAAAUAAAACUCUUCCCAAUCUUUGACUAACUGAAUUCUCUAGAAUUGGAGGAAAUAUGAAACAGAGCUAAAGCCAUCCCCAAAUUUUGUAAACAAGAACGGAUAUUACAUCGGCUAACUGUUGAGCUUAGUGCCGUUUUAGUAAGUUCUUAUAUCUGUAAGAUCCAUUUAGAGAGUGGGGGAAUGCCCUUGAUAUGCUUGCGGGUCAACGGUCAGUGACCUUAUUGUUAUUGACAGAUUGUAGUUUCCUAGCUUUUACUUCUCUUGGCUGCUUGUAGCCUUCAUUUCUUGUUGGUAAAGUUGCUUAAGUUAUUCAAAGUCAAAAGACACCCAUUU